AGCAGCUGACACUUUGACAGUGAUCAUAUCACCAUUUACAUAGACUUUUCUUCUAUCUAGCAUCUCAUUGUUUUUUUGUUUUUUUCUCCAUUGUUCGAAAUGUGCCAACGCUUGUGUCGACAUAAAGGCAACAAUCGAUCGAACAAUGGCGCCAGGAUCCACCGUUGGAACGACAUCGAUUCCCACCCGUUUCCUCCCUUCUUCCGCCGGGUUCCAGGUUGAAUGCCGGUGAACGAAACAACACGCCAGCGGCAGCAAACUGAUGUUAUUCCAAACACGAGAGGCGCUCUUCCAGCACACACAUUUGUGGUUGAGUUAUACGUGACAAUGCCAUUCAUCAUUCGAGAGCGAUUCCGUACCUCCAAUCUAUUCCCAUUACUUUGAGCUGCCGAGUGAGUGAAACCGACCGAAACCCGACGAACCUUUCACACAGUUGACUAUACUUUUAUACUCUACCACCGCCAUUUCGCGUGCUUCUCGGCUGUCAAAAGACAUAAGGCCCGCAUCGUUCGACCAUCGAGCCACGCAGAUAAAAAGGAAGAGAGAGAGACCGCCGAGCUAACACAAUUUAAAGAGUUAUUUAAGAACUAAUCAACUGGGAGAGAGAGAGCUGCGUGUAUAGAAAAAAAGAACGGACGGGGGAACAAAAAUGAGCUCCCGGCCUUUGCGUGAUGGCGACACACACAGUCAACCUCCGACAAUGUUUUUUUAUUUUUUAUUUUACGACUUCCUUUUACACCAUCUCGACUGCUACUAGCCCAUUAA